GAGAAGGUGGCUAAGAGUAUAUCCCAGGAUUGCAAAGAUGUCGGAGCCCAGCCUCAGACGGUAUAUGGUGCCAUUUUCAACAUAAAAGAUAAAAACCCUUUCAACAUGGAGGUGCUGGUAGAUGCCUGGCCAGAUUACCAGAUCGUCAUUACCCGGCCUCAGAAACAGGAGAUGAAAGAUGACCAGGAUCAUUAUACCAACACUUACCACAUCUUCACCAAAGCUCCUGACAAAUUAGAGGAAGUCCUGUCAUACUCCAAUGUAAUCAGCUGGGAGCAAACUUUGCAGAUCCAAGGUUGCCAAGAGGGCUUGGAUGAAGCAAUAAGAAAGGUUGCAACUUCAAAAUCAGUGCAGGUAGAUUACAUGAAAACCAUCCUCUUUAUACCGGAAUUACCAAAGAAACACAAGACCUCAAGUAAUGACAAGAUGGAGUUAUUUGAAGUGGAUGAUGAUAACAAGGAAGGAAACUUUUCAAACAUGUUCUUAGAUGCUUCACAUGCAGGUCUUGUGAAUGAACACUGGGCCUUUGGGAAAAAUGAGAGGAGCUUGAAAUAUAUUGAACGCUG
rnacentral:sRNA from 1 species